GAUGAAGAACAUAGCGAAAUGCGAUAAGUAAUGUGAAUUGCAGAAUUCAGUGAAUCAUCGAAUCUUUGAACGCACAUUGCGCCCCUUGGUAUUCCGGGGGGCAUGCCUGUUCGAGCGUCAUUACAACCCUCAAGCUCUGCUUGGUCUUGGGCGUCACCGGUCCCCGGUGUGCCUUAAAAUCAGUGGCGGCGCCAUCUGGCUCUAAGCGUAGUACAUACUCUCGCUACAGACGUCCGGUGGAUGCUGGCCAGCAACCCCCAAUUUAUCAAGGUUGACCUCGGAUCAGGUAGGGAUACCCGCUGAACUUAAGCAUAUCAAUAAGCGGAGGA
rnacentral:misc_RNA from 1 species